rnacentral:rRNA from 1 species
GACGAACGCUGGCGGCGUGCUUAACACAUGCAAGUCGAACGGAAAGGCCCUGCUUUUGUGGGGUGCUCGAGUGGCGAACGGGUGAGUAACACGUGAGUAACCUGCCCUUGACUUUGGGAUAACUUCAGGAAACUGGGGCUAAUACCGGAUAGGAGCUCCUGCUGCAUGGUGGGGGUUGGAAAGUUUCGGCGGUUGGGGAUGGACUCGCGGCUUAUCAGCUUGUUGGUGGGGUAGUGGCUUACCAAGGCUUUGACGGAUAGCCGGCCUGAGAGGGUGACCGGCCACAUUGGGACUGAGAGACGGCCCAGAAUCCUACGGGAGGCAGCAGUGGGGAAUAUUGCACAGUGGGCGGAAGCCUGAUGCAGCAACGCCGCGUGCGGGAUGACGGCCUUCGGGGUGUAAACCGCUUUCGCCUGUGACGAAGCGUGAGUGACGGUAAUGGGUAAAGAAGCACCGGCUAACUACGUG